GCACGUCAUACUUCGGUAAAUUUACACAGAUAUUAGAACGGCUGUUCUUUACCUCUCAGUGUGUGUAUAUUGUGUGUGUGUGUGCGUGUGUGUGCGCGUGUGUGUUUCCUCUGCUCCUUUUGAGCCAUUGUGCUUAACUGAAUUUUAUAACGCUGAUCGAUAUCUUGGUAAAAUAUUCAUUUUUAAACUAGCGGGCAGUGAAAUCUUUGCUUUGUGCUAAAGUCAACAGUCGCUCCAAUAAAUGCAGCGAUGCCUUUCCGCGGAAUUGCAGACGGUGAGGUAUCUGGCUUGUCAUCGCCUCUGCGAUCUGCAGCUCUCUGGCAUCAGUUCAAAAGAAACGAGGAAACACAACUGUACACAGGUUUACCCACUGAACGCAAUGCCACUUCCUUCCAGGAAAGGGCAAGAUCCAGCUGAAAUCACUCACCUCCCCACCCCACUGGCUUCCAGUGAAAUCUGCUGAAGUCAAUGGAACUCAAAGAAGUAAGAAUCGGAUAUAUCAACAGAAGCAUAAAAAGAAGUUAAAUGCAGUGAAAUGAGGUGGUGGAGCGAAGGAAGGAAAACAGCUCGCGCCUCAUCUGGCUCAGCAGGGGAAGGCCCGCCCAGCGGCUGCGAGGCUCAGGCGAGAUUCCCGCAGGAGCCCAGUCCGCCAGCAAACUCCCCAGGAGAUUUUAUCGGCCAAGUGGGUAAUUGGGGGCUUCCUUAUCCUUCGGCCUCUUCGACAUGCCAUGGAUUUUUGCUCGACUGUUUGAUUGGAAGAAGACAAGCCAACAAGCACACAAACAAUGAGCAGGCGAGGCGCCCCAGGAAGCCAUCGCUACUUUGAACUAAAGUUGCCAACUCCUUUUAUAUUUGCUGCUCCUGCGCCUUUAGCAAUGCCGAGGAAGGCAGGCUUUCCAUCGCCACCAUGGCGAUUAGGUGACGCCAUGAGAUCUGUACACCAUCAGAGAAGUAAGAACCCAAGAAAAAUGCAGCGGCUGUCGCUUUUCCCGCCCUCCAGUUUAGGGUCACCUGCUGUGAUUUACCCUAUCCAGGCACUGGUAAAGCGGCGGCAGCCGCGGCAGGAAAGUGGCAAUCCUAUAUUUACGCUACCCGAAUGAUAAAAGUUGCCUCGAGGUCCUCUUUCAGCGGGUUCAGCAGCUCUUCCCCUUUACAGGAGCAGAUGGCAAACACACCUAUCCCAUAAGAGCAUGCGCAGAAGGUCAUCCUUCCCGCCACCGGGUCUUUGCAGUCCCGGUCCUUCGGCCUCGGGAAACACCGCUAGCCGGGGCUGCAAAGGAGCGUGGCUCUUCCCCAGGUCCCGGGAGUCCUCGGCUCCAAGGAGCUUGGCCGGGGCGGGGCCCCGGCUCCCAGGCCUCCCUUGCAAGUAAGAGACAAAGCGAGCAGCUGCACCUAACCGCGCAGCUUUGCUCAAGCCACAGGGACCGGCCUGCCCUCAACGACGCCAGGCGGCCUGGCGCGCCCGUUCCGGAUUCAGCGGCCGGAAAGACAGCUAAGCCUCUCGGCGGCCGCAUCCGCGCGUCCGGGUGGCGAUCCGGGAACCCUCGCGCCUGGACCGCUGCAGGCCCCUUCGAAGUGCUGCUUUCUCUUUUUGGCGGGCUCAUGCUCCAAGCUUAGAGCCGCAGCUGCGGAGAGUCGCCGGGAAGGCGGGGGGAGCUCGCGUGGAAGCCUUUUUUCGGCGCAAGGGGAGGCCGCCGGCCAAAGGACCUCGUGCAGCAGCCCAGAGGCGGGGCGCCCUUGCUGGCGAAGACCACCCGCCCCCGAGGCGCCUUCUGCUUCUUGCCCGGCGACCGCGGGUGACUCCCCGCCCUCUCGCUUGUGCGCUACCACGGCGACUGUUCCUCAUUGUCCGCACUGCCCGUCGGCGUUUGCUUUCCCUCUCGGUCUGGUCGGGCCUGUUUGGUAUCUUACGGCAAGGCCCUCGCAUUUCCCCCUUUUCUCUUUGGGGCGAAAUCUCUCUGCUCUGGUAGAACCUCUUUUAACUGCGGGGCUUGGGAAGACUUCGGAAGCGUAAAGAAUUCACAGGCGCGGAGAAAUGGGAAAGGCGCUGGGCUGUCCCGCGAGCCCGUCCACAAAUCUAUGGGCAGUCAGGCUACUGCCACCUGCGAGACAGAAAAUGUCUGAAGGAUGUGGAGGAGGGAGCAUCAGAGCGAUGCUACAGUUCUAAAAAAUAAAACAGCCAGAAUAUAGGGCUACUGCAGAAGGAAAUGAGCUGGUCGCUAGGAUUCGUGUGGCUGCGGGGGAUGGUAGUGGAAAAUCGCAGCUCUCUUGAGUUAUGCAGCACUGGGAUGAUUUCUCUCUCGCUUUCAAUUUCUCUUUCUCUUUAUUCACCCAGAUACGGAGCCUUGUUCCAAAGGCAACGUUGUCCAAAGAGGAGGCCUGGAGCAGAAACAAAUAAUAACCUCCCCCUCCCUGAGCCAGGCUAUGUAUAUUCGGUCAGUUAAGAAUAGAGCCGCUGCUUGCUUCUCUGUCCCGAAUUCCUCCAUUCAGAGUUGCAACAGAAGGGCAGAAAUCAUCUAAUUGUGCGCCCUUGUUUUCUCCUCGUCUUUUCCCCCUUUACUUCCCUUCCCUUCCCAAAAAAUCCCGCCCCACCCCCUUCUCUGUUGUGAGCCUGGUAAUGACAUGCAAGGACCGGCUGAAAGACAACCAGACAUCAAAGCACAAAGCAAAUGACAUUUCCCCCACGUUGAUAAGAAAGUCACACUCCGAACUUUCUUUUCCUUCUUAAAAGGGACUCCGCCAUCCGAAAAGGUGGCAUUUGGGGGUCAUGUUAUGCAGGUUGUGUAGGUUCUGCACAAUCCCAUUUAUAAAGAGACCGUGUCCAGCAGGACCUCAGAAAUGUAAGGAAUUUGGGGACCAAACAACAUUUAUUGGGGAUAAGAGAGCGUAUGUCUAUGUGUGUGGGGAGGGGGGCGGGCAGGCGGGUGGAGAAGACACACAUUUGGAGCUGAGAUGGGACUAAUUAUCGAGAUAGAGAACAAGGAGCUGGAACACCCAAGUCGAAGUGAGCUCGUCUCCCGGGAGACUGAUGGAGACCUAUUUUACAAGCUGUAAUUCCGCUUUAGAUGCUUGCAAACUAAAGUCAAUUCACACCCUCUUCUUUAUUCUAGAAAUAUUCCUAAUCCUGCAGUUCAAGCGGGAAUCCUCUGGCUUCUUCCCUCCUAAUAUUAAUCUAGAAACUUCAUGAAAGGAGGCUUGAUUACGGGAGGGUGGAAUCACUUUCCUUCCCAGUUUAACUACCUCGGCAACGUCUAACCUUCCGAUGAAUAGAUAUUAAACAUGGAGAAACAUCCUGCGCAGUUCUAUGGUCUCUUGAUCUGUUAUCCGUUUGACAGGGUCAUAGCCAAUUAACAGUGUGGGGAACCCCUCAUAUAUUUAAAACAAAAGCAAAGUGAGAACACUGCUUUUGAUUCCAGCAUUUUUCAGGCAGUACUUUGGAGUGAACACUUGGACAUUUUCCUUUGAUUUUGUCUUAAUGCUUUAUUUAUAUUUAUAUAAAGUAAAGUAAAAUGGAAUGAUUCAUGUGGAUGCAACUAAUGUAAAAAAUGAAUACAUCUUUUUUAUUGCCAAGACCUAGACUGCUUUACAGUACAUUGCAGUAGGUUCUGUGGACAGCUGGUUAAGUAAUCUGAUCAUAUCUAUGCUCACUUAAAAGUAAGCAUCCUUGUUUUCAGCUGUAAAUAUAGUUACAAGACUUGAACUCUUAGUUGGGUAUAGUUUUUAGGUUGGAGUUGUGUACCUUUGUACUGCAUUGCUAUUUUUGAUUAACAAAAUCAACAAAAAGAAGUGACAUUCAUGUUGUUUAGAAAAUAAUCAAAAUGCUUGCCUUCUUUUAGAAUCUUUAGCCUUCCUCUGAUGGUUUAAGCCUUGCCACAGCAUAAAUAGGCAAUUUAAUUUCAUUGAUACUUAUGGACAGUUGGCUUAGUUAAUUUGAUAAGACAGAAAAUAAUGAUAAAUGAAAGAGUACGCAUGCAAGUAUGUAUUCAGAAAUCAGCAGAUCUGCAUCUCUUAUUUUUUAAUACAACAAAAAUAAAAUACUUGGCCAGAAACAAUAAUUGAGGAGUACACACAGUAUGAGUUCUAAAGGCGGGGGCAGCAUUUGAUUACAUCGGGGUAUUGACAUCUUCAUUCUAUUUUCCAAAUCUUUGAUAGGUUAACAUGUAAAUAGGAAAAGUAGAAAAUCAUUCUCUCUCAGAAAUGAGGCCAUACCAAACCAGCCCUUAACUAAUAGAGACCAUUCCAUUUUUUAAAUAGAAGUAAUAAAAGUUUUCUCUUCUAUGGGGCUUUAUUUUUCAUCUCUCCUUCUCUCUCCAGCCUUGCAUCUUUCCUUUAAUUUGUUGCCAGUUCUUCAACCACUAGAGAUAUGCCUCUAGCAACAGCUUGAUCUAGAGCAAGCUAUUAAUCUCUCUCUUUGCUGCAGAUCACACUGCUGUUAAAGGCACAGCUGCAGAGUUCAGCUGAAGAGUUGGUGGUGGGAAUCCCAGGCCCAUGUGAGAUUAAAUGUUGAUGACCCUUCCAAAUCCAGGUUUUUGGAUUAAGAGUAGCAGGCAACAUAUUAACUCAGAAGUUCAACCAUAUAUAUAAACGAUAUGUAAAGUCUUAUAAUUAACUUUCCUGCUUCACAAUGAAUAAUUGACUCACCACAAGGAUUCUGGAUUCAAUUUUGUAAGGUCUCCCUUUGCCAUGUUGUCCAUUUGUACUACAACUAUAUGCUUCUGAACUAUAUUACCUGAAUUAAUUUGGAAGAAUAUUCCACAAAAAUCAGUAAACAUUUCUAAGUAAUACUUUAAAAUUAAGCCAACUAUGCCAACUUUCUUACCUGUAAAAUAGAAUUCAUCCAAUAUGUUUGUUCCCAUAAUUGCUUUCUUACCAUAUUUCCUACAUGCACAGAACACUGGCAGCAAUCCAAAGUCCAUUUAUCUGGGAUUAAACCUUACUGAUCUCAAUGGGACUUGUUUUUGAAUAAAUAUGCCUGGGAUCCCUUUUCGCUGGAAAAUCUUAACUUUUCCCAUAAUCUAAAACUCCAAGGUUGGUGUGGGAAAGGAAGAGAUGCCAGCCACAAAUGGAGGUCUGACAUAGAUUUAAGAGCCCAGAUUUGUUUCAGAGGUCAACAAAGUAAUCAUCAACAGCCCCUUUGUGUUUAACAGGAUUACUUAAAGCUUGAACAGGAGUGAAGUCUAGAUUAUAGUGGCAUUGUAGCCGAAACUGGCAUAGCAAAAAAACUGUGGCAUCUUAAAUGCUAACACAAUGACAAUAAGAUGAGCUUUCAUGGAUGGACCAAAGCUCUUUUUGUUAGAUGUAUGAGAUAUCAUCCCAAAUUGGCAUGUGGGACUAUCUGAGCGUAGAAGGAAAAAGAGUGUAACAGCAGUGAAAUCGAACAGGAAUGAUAUGCAAGAAAUGCAUGCAGUGAGAAUUAUGUUAAUUAUUAUAUUGGUGUAAAAUACAGCCAAAAAGAUGAUUGAACUAAAAGAGACAUAUAUGUUUAUUGAGACUUAUGUGGCUGCCAAUUAAAUAAGUGGGCAUAAUACUUUGUAAUCUGAUGUCCAGCAUUAUUGCUACUAUAAUUUUAUUUCCAGUUACUGAGAUCAAGGGGAAAAUGCACCUACUUUUGAAUCUUUAAAGCGUUCUUUAUUUCCUCAAGUGUAUGCCUUGCCGUUUCUGGAUUUUUCUCUUUUCUUCCAGUUCUUUCCAACCUGGAUGGGAAAAUACCAGCUGCUAGGAAUUACCUGGUGUUCUGGGUGCUUUAAGAGGCUGAUCACUUCACAGUGUGUCCAAUCAAAAGUCUGUGGGCCUGCAGACAAUUUUCAGGACAGCCAGGCACAACUCAGGGAAGAAGGGCAAGGCAAUUAUUUAAAAACAGUUUAGAUAAAGGCAUGGAAUCAAGAGGUUUGGGUAGCUGGAAAAUAGCAUUUGAUAGAAAAUGUUUUUGUCUUCAUAACUAUUGUCUUAGAAGCAUCUUUUUCUUUUAUAUAAGCAAUUAGCCAGAUUUUUUGAUGCAGGUGUGGUAAGUGAAAGCCAAGGAGCUAAGGGGAGGUUUGAGUACUUCAGUAAAAUAGGUUUUUAAAGAAAAGCAUAAGCAAUCUUUAGUUCUAAGAGUUUCAAAAUAUAAUUAUUUCUUUUAAGAUCACACCCACCAUAAACCUGCCAAAUGAUGAUUGAGCAGCAUGACCCUUCAGAUAUGGGGUUCCAAUUUCCACUGAUCCCUCCAACAAAGUCUGGAUUCUCCAUCCCAGGAGAAUUCUCAUCCUAAUUCCUUAUUCAUAGGAACAUUCAAAAGGCUGCUCAAUUAGUAGAUAUAAAUCUAAAGUUUAUAUAAUGUUGGGCUUAAAAUGCAUAUUAUAUGUCUUUGCAACUUUUGCCCUUCAAGAUAGACAAUAAUUCAAUGUAACCAUUUGCAGUUUUCUAAUGUCUACCAUCACAUAUCAAGAAAUCCUCUCCCACUUAAAUAGACUCUUCUGAAAAAUGGUGACUUAGGCAUGGGCACAGGGAUCUGUGUUCCAAGAAUUUAAGGAUGAUGCGCUGGGUAAUACUCUUAUUUCCGCAAGAGAGUCUCAUUACUGCAUCUCUCUCAAACCUGCAAGGUUGCCUUUGGACAAGCCAUAGAUAGGCCAGGUCUGAAUCCAACGUUCUUGAGCAUAAUCCCUCAUGUCAGUUCUGCAGGGGUCACUGAUUGUGCAUUUGGGUUGCACUAGUAAUUUAGAGACUGAAAUAUUUGAGGAGAGAAAGAACUUGAUAGGUCAAGCUGUGACCUCCCAACUGUGUUUGUGAACCUAAUUGGAAGUAAACAAGAUGUGGGUUGCAGUUAAGGAGAGCAGACUGAAUUCUUUCCAGUACUUAACGAGGCUGCAGGCCUAACCUUACCUUGGAGUAAGUGCCAUUGAGCGAGUCGACCAGCCUGCGAUGGUCCCCCAAGGAGGGAUCGCCGCACGCCACCUUUUCCGGCCCUUGGCAAGAGUUUCCCUGCCCCCGGCCGCGAAAGACUCCCCUUUCACCGCGGAUCAACCAAUGAAACCUGCCCCAAGGCCCAAAAUAAGACGCCGAGCCUGCCUUCGUGCCAUCAAGCUGCUGGAAGCCAUUUAUCUCAGGUGCCUUUAACCUGUAGUCAAAACGUGCUGCCAGACUCAUUUAGGGAGGUCAGCUCGGUAACCUGAGAUGAGGCUCCACUGAUGGUUGAGAGCGCCCUUCAGAUUCCACCCUUGCUUGGUAAACAAGGCCGAGGAACUGCCCUCCCUGCCUUCCGCCCCACGGAGCCACUUGCAGCGAGCGAGCACCUCGCCUUAUCUCGGAGGUCGCGCCUUCUUCAGCGUCUCGGGCGAAUUCCUAGGCACCGGCGGGGGAGGGAGGCAGGGACGCGAGAGAAGAAGCGAGGCGGCGGGCCCGGAGCCCUGGCGGAUGGCCGUCCCUGAAGUUCCGGAGGUCUUGAGCUGGCUCUUGCAAGAUGGCUGAGCAGGCCAUCUUGCAAAAGAAGCGCUUAGCGGGUGCCGGCGCCUGCGGGCCUGUGGAGCCGCGCGUACCUGGAUCCGGAGAAGCCGGCGAAAUUGAGCUGCGAUCCCAAGGAUUUAGGCUUGGCCCAACUUUGCCAGCCUAAAUUACAAGAAUAUGAAUUCAUUUUACUUCUGCCCGGACCGCCCUGUAUUUUGCGAAGGCUUAAUACUAAUUAAGGCUGUUAAUCGAUUGAAGAGUUUGUAAUGGAUUAAUCCCCAGCGUUUAAAUCUAUACAUUAUAGUCUUAUAUCUAGAAACAUUUGCAAACUACCCAAACAUCAGUUAAGAUGGCUUUGAGAUGAUAAUUAAUGGUGCAACCUCAUCAGUGUAGAUUUGGUUAUUGGAAAUAAUGUCACCUUGAACUGAGAAUUUCUCAACAGGCAUGCUACACAAAGAAAAUAUAACACUCUUUAAAAAAUGGCUUCCCAUUUUUAAUAUUUUUUAGAUCUUCCUGGACAAGUUCAGUAAUCUUCCUCACCCAAUGUCAGCAGACCCAGGUCCCACUGAAUGCAGGGUGGCCAGGUUUAGACAACAGAGAUGCCACUGCCAUCCUAGGAAAUCAGGCUGGCUUCAUGGUCUGUUAGGACAGAUGCUGAACCAGGGGUUUGCCUCACGGUUAUCUUUGGUGCUUGAGGCUUCCCUUCUGUUGAUAUGAAAGGAUGAUGGUGAAGAUGUUCCUAUGGCAUCUUGGAGAGGGGCAAGAGGGAUUGAGACCCAAAUGUUUUUCUGGGUCAGUGCUUUUGAUGAGGCAUGGUCUGGCAGAAUCCAGUGGCUCUCUACAACAAAGACCUUUGAUUCACUACUGGAAGGAAAUUCCCAGCCUUGAGUCUUGCCUUCCAAUGCAAAAGAAAAUGAAUUGGAGUCCUGAGGAGCAAAAGUGAAGCAGAAACUUGGAAUGAGAAAAGAAAGAUAAGGGGAAAGGAUGGAUGAUCAGUGCUCAUCUUUUUGCAGUAGAAGAGUACUCUGUUGACAGCAGAAAAGCCAUGGUGUUUAAUUCCUGUGGUAUCACAGGCUGAACUAUUUUGAUAAAGUAAUUGAUGGGAGACUAAUGACAGAAAUACUGACUAUGGAAUUCAGUCACACUGACUGAAAUGAAUAAGAGAUUCACAAUCCAAUCUCUAGUUUGGCACUGGAUUGAUUCAUACAUUACAUGAAGCCAUGGUAGAAUAUUUUAGUUUUCUGAAUAAGCCAUAGUGGCUAGAUUCACCCCAUGCACAAAUCACCUGAUGGCUUAGGGUGGUGAUAUGUGAACCCAGUCAGAGAGUGACACAAGGUUGCAAUAGACCAACUAGUAGCCCAAUUAGCUCAGUGGGGCUUCCAUAUAUCUGUAGACUCUCCAGAGUUUCAGACAAGACUCUGACGCUGAAGAGUGAGCCCAGGACUGUGCCAAGCAUCUCCUCCCCAAAGAGAUUUGCAUUAAAAUUGCUUUAAGAUGCCUUCUAAAUAAAUGCACAUCAGGGUCAGCCCUGUGAAUCCCUAAGAAGGGCUUUUUGUGUUUGCAGAUGUGGCAAUGGGGAAGAAGGCUGCCCCAUUUCCCAGAUGAUGGAACUACAAGGCUUAAGCUUGGUUCCAAGUUGGAAAAGUCUCCAUCUGGCAUGAUCUGAUGUGAAGGAAGAUCACAGAUGUAAAAGCUUUGAAGCAAGUUACAUACAUGCAGCUCCUGAUAAUCCUAAAGGCAGUCAUAAGAGCAGCUGCCCUUACUGAGAACCCACAUUCUGACCUCCACACCACCUCUACCACUGGUCUUUCCUGACACUCAAAAGUCACACCUCCCCAAAAUGGCCAACAGAAACCAAAUCUCAACCACCAGGCUCCUUCCUUCCCCUUUCAAGAUCCUUCUUCAUGCAGUGUUGUUAGGGGGAAUCCUGUGGCCAGACUCAGCUAGUUCAACUCUUCCCCCAGUAUCUUGAUGCUGUUCCAAGUGCUUUGCUGGGUGAGGGUUGGGAAAGAUGGCUACUGUUGAUGGAGGGCCCCAGAGUUGGCUGGUUAGUUGUGGUGAUGUUAGGGGACUAUUGGGCAGUGUUACAGCUGACUGCAUGUGUUAGUGCCAUUACCUGGCUGGAACACCAGAUAUUGCCUACUAAUCUGAAGACCUACCUAUGGUCAAAAAGCAGAUACUUAGAAAGCUAACCUCUGCCACUAGCUCAAAGUCAGAAGGGAGGCUGGAUGCUAGCAUAUGCCAGCCCAGCCCUAGUCUAAAGACCACUAUUUUGAAGGGCUUUGAGGGACUUGAGAGAAAGACACGUCUUGGUUCAGGGGAAUAUACUUUUGUUUUCCAAAACUAUUUCCAGGAGAAGCUUAUCAAUAGCACUGUCUGAGACACCUGGUUCAACUUCUCAGAAAAAGCCUAUUUGUUACUGGUUCAAGACUAGGGAAUGCAGUGAGGCAGUGACAAAAAGGCUCAAUGUUUACUGUAGAAACCAAGCAUGAAAUUGAAUGUUAACUAUUUCAGAAAAAAAAAUGCAAAUCCAAUUGAAAACAAAGAGGCAAGAACGAUUUAGAGGUAUCAGCUUAUGAAGCUCCAGUCGAAAUGUAUUAUUGAAGUUUUGCCUGUGGGAUUUUGAAAAGACAGUUUUACAAAGCAGGCGCAGCCAGAAGAAAUGUGAACUUAAAUAAUCCAUAAAAAAGAAAGAACAUUGCAUGUUUCAAAUAACGCACACUGAAGUCUCUUGACUUAACUAAGUGAAACGGAGGAUCUUGUUAACUCUUUCACUUACAUAUCAAUAGGGCAGGAUUUUUUUCUGUGACAUUAAAUAAAGUUUGAAGAGAUCACCAAGAGAUGCAAAUGAAAAAGUCUCCUGGCAUCUUAAAAGAAUAACGUAUUCAUCACUGCCUAAGUCGGAGGCCAUUUUAUUUGGUCAAAUACCCAAUCUGAUGAAGUGGACUCCAGGAUCAGAUACAGGUAGCAAGCAUCCUUUCAUUGCUGGCGGAUUUACUAACUGUGGCUGCUAAUCUAUCUACCCAAUGUGGAAAACUGACAACAUAUGCCUUAUUUCUGAAUAAACAUGAAUAAGACCAAGUUGCAUAUUAUUUUCAGUUUUUAGUAGUUCUCAUUUAGUAUUGUUAAGUUGCGCCAUUUUGGAUCAGCUCUUCCCUCUAAAGCUUGUUUCAGUUGAAGUGUUGCUUGUCAAGCCAAUAUUGGUAUCUGUUAUACUAUUUCAGUGGCACAGAGAUGUCCUAAUGCUUGGAGUGCCAAAAUGGCCUGUUAUUCUUUAUGAACCUGUACAGUAAGGAGCAUUGUACCAGCUAUUGUCUCAACAUAUAUCAAUGUUCUAAAAACAGAAAGAUAACUAAAAUUUAGGACAGCCAGUAAGGAAACUUGCUUUCCAAUAAAUCAUACAACCAACAAUUUAGAGAUUGGGGAUCACUCUAAUUAUGAUGUUGACGGGAUUUGUGUGUGUGUGUGUAAGCAUUGCUCAAGAUCACCUUUCCUUAACAAUCCGACCAAUGUGCAAGUUAAUUUGAUAAAGGUUCACUAAUGUAUUGUCUUCCUCCUCCAGCCUCCAUAUAACUAGCAGGGUGCUUAACAUUGGAUCAUGCUUGCUUCUUGGAUUGUGAGGAUAGUACCUUAUACAGUACAGUACUUAUGUAGGAACAAUCCUCAUUGAAUUUACUAGGGGGCAAAUUACUUCUGGGCGGAUAUACAUAGGGGCAUGCUGUAUAUUCUGUUGAUUUCAGUGGGUCU